AAGCUGCAUGUGAUCUUGUUGACUGUGCUAGUACCUUGAUCAGUGGAGUUACAUUGGUCAUGUCAUAGCACAAACGUAUACAGGAGGAAAUCCAUGGCAACAUUCUUUGAGAUAAAACCGGAAGACUCUUUGUCUUGUCUGCAACCACCAUGAACAGUUGUGAGUAUGACUUAAAUAGUUUAGUCCUAUCCAAGUGAAUGCUAACACUGUCCUAACAUCCAACAUGUGGAAUCUUUCCUCAUCCUUAUGAGCAUGAGGCCUAGGGAAGAAAGUUGGUAAGUAAAUUGCUUGAUUGAUAUGGAAGUGAGAAAUCACUUUGGUGAGAAAUUUUGGAUGAAGGCAUAAGUAUACCUUGUCCUUGUAGAAGACUGUAUAUAGUAGGUCAUACCAGGGGUCUCAUUUCUCCUGCUCUCCUUACAGAGAUAACUGCCACCAAAAAUGCUACAUUCAUUGAAAGAUGAAGAAACGAACACAUAAACAUUUGAUCAAAGGGUGAACCCAUUAGCUUUUCUAGCACCAGGUUUAAGUCCCAAGGGGGAACAGGAUCCUCUACCUGAGGGUAUAAGUGGUCAAGAUCCUCCAAAAUCCCAAGAGACAUGGAAUUGGAGCAAAGUGAGUGAUUAUUAUUCGGUGGGUGAAAAUCACAGAUAGCUCCUAGGUGCAUCCUGAUGGAACUAAUGGCAAGAGCUUGCUGCUUCAGGUAUAACAAAUAGUCCAGCACGUGUUGUAUUGGAGCCAGGAGAAACACCUUUUCCCUGAGACCAGAAGAAGAAUCUUUUCCAUGUCAACAGGUAAGCGUACCUAGUAGACAGUUUUAGUGGUCAUUGCCUUCCUAUGAAAACAAGGCAUCACCAUUUUUCCAUUUGUGGAUGAUUGCCUUCUCAAAAUGUCAUCUGAGAAUGAGGCGCUCCUAGCAGUCCAUACUACAAUGACUCUCUUCACAAAACUGGGUCUCCUUAUCAAAAAGUCCUCACUAACACCAGUGAAAACACUGGAAUUCAUUGGCACUUUACUUGACGCCAAGCCGGAGGAGCAUUUCUACCAUCUCACAGGUUCACACUGAUGACACAACCAGUCUUAACCGCCCGAGCGUGCCCCCAAAUCCCAGCACAUACAUGUCUCUGACUCCAGACGCAAAGGCACUGCUGCAUCUACAGUGGAGCACCCCUGGGGACCACACAUCUCAAAGAACCUCGGUUACUGCUCAAGGUGAGUAAUCCUCUCUUUUAUUGGUUUAUCCCAGUUGCCUCUCAAAAUGUGACUAUUCCCAGGAUUUAAGCAAUGUACCACUGAGAGGGCAGUAAUACCUGUGAGUGAAAAAUACUCAAGUUGUUUAAUUUCUUUGGAAGAGGGACAUGUCAGGGAUAAAUGCUCCAUUUGUUCCUCUUUCCCAACAAGAACAAAUCUAGGGAAUUCCACCUUAGGAAGUACUUUCUGGAGGGAGCACUCAAAACGGUGAUGUGUCCCUCUUCAGAAUUUGGCCUGAAUCACAAGAGGAUGGAGAGCUCUUCCACAAAGAUCACACCUCUGGAUACUUCGACCUCAAAACCAAAGACUGGAGAAAAGAGCAGCUUUUCUUCUUCUCCUGUGGUGUCCUCGAAGCAGAAGUUCUUCUCUGAAUGAUUGUACAUGUCCAUUCCACUUCAGGCAGUGGGAACACUUCUGAGGCACACGUCCCUCUUCCAGGCAGUGGAUACACCGUGCGUGGCCGUCCAUUAUAGAGAAGAUGUCUCCACACAAGACACACUGCUUAAACCCAGGAGGAAGAAGCAGAAAAAGGAAACCAAGGAGCUAACUAACUACACCUCUACCUUGAUAUAACGCGACCUGAUAUAACACGAAUUCGGAUAUAACGCGGCAAAGCAGCACUCCGGGGGGGGGCAGGGCUGCACACUCCGGACGAUCAAAGCAAGUUUCACCUAUAACGCGGUAAGAUUUUUUGGCUCCCGAGGACAGUGUUAUAUUGGGGUAGAGGUGUAUGAGAGAAAAAGAGGUAAGAGACUACGCAGAUAACAAUGUGGGCUCUG